rnacentral:tRNA from 1 species
GGCGGUGUGGCGGAAUUGGCAGACGCGCCGGACUCAAAAUCCUGUGCCCGCAAGGGCGUGUCGGUUCGACCCCGACCACCGCUA